rnacentral:rRNA from 1 species
UACAGAGGGGGCAAGCGUUAUUCGGAAUUAUUGGGCGUAAAGGGCGCGUAGGCGGCUUUGCAAGUGACGGGUGAAAUCCCUCGGCUUAACCGAGGAACUUCCUGUCAAACUGCAUGGCUUGAGACCGGGAGAGGUGAGUGGAAUUCCCAGUGUAGCGGUGAAAUGCGUAGAUAUCGGGAGGAACACCUGUGGCGAAAGCGGCGCACUGGACCACAACUGACGCUGAGGCGCGAAAGCUAGGGGAGCAAACAGG